rfam:Pythium ultimum DAOM BR144 ctg_1117875580869, whole genome shotgun sequence.
GGCUAGAUAACAUAAUGGUAAUGUAAAGGACUGCAAAUCCUUUAAUGACGGUUCAAAUCCGUCUCUAGCUU